UAAAUACUCCCUCUGUCCGAAAAUACUUGUCAUCAAAAUGGACAAAAAGAUAUGUAUCUAGAACUAAAAUACAUCUAGAUACAUCAUUUUUUAUCCAUUUGGGUGUCAAGUAUUUUCGGACGGAGGGAGUACCUU
rnacentral:pre_miRNA from 1 species